UACGUAGGGGGCGAGCGUUGUCCGGAAUCAUUGGGCGUAAAGAGCGUGUAGGCGGCUUGGCGAGUCUGACGUGAAAGCCCGCGGCUCAACCGCGGAUUGUCGUUGGAAACUGCCUCGCUAGAGUCCGGAAGAGGAGAGCGGAAUUCCUGGUGUAGCGGUGGAAUGCGCAGAUAUCAGGAAGAACACCCGUGGCGAAGGCGGCUCUCUGGGACGGUACUGACGCUGAGACGCGAAAGCGUGGGGAGCGAACAGG
rnacentral:rRNA from 1 species